rnacentral:lncRNA from 1 species
AUGUUCCUGAGUUGUAUCCCGCGAUGCCCAAGCCCAGCCCCCAAGAAACCCUGCGGUGGGUGCCUCGCCCAGUGGUGGGGACGCUGGGCCAGCCCUCACCCCCGACGCUCCUGGUGCUUCCAACAGAAAACGGCCAUGGGCCAGGACAGGUCAGCCUCGCGCCUGGCAAUGCACAGAAGGCUGCGGAUCGCCAGCAGGCAGGACGUGUGUCAGGCCCCUUUCACUGAUGACCUGUGUGUGGUGGGGGAGUGGUCAAACGAGCCCACAGCUCCGAAGCCCCCGUACCGGGCGUUCCCCGGCACACAGAAACCACUGGACGUCCCCCUCAGUCACACACUGUUGGUCAGAGCCCAGAUAGAGCCCAGGGGCUCCGCAAAUGCCCAUCUCACAGCGGAGGAAGUAGGGCCCGUUGACUUCGCCUGUGUCAGUCGUGACCCAGGGUCAGGGCCGGGCCUGGCACCUGACCUCACGGCUGGGGCGGCACAGAGCCCUGAUCUCACAACAACACCCCCGCUGGAGCAGUGCUGGUCCUCCAUCGAUCAGCGCCACCACAAGGAUGCGCGGGGGACAGCUGUGUCCCCGGGGGCCGAGCAGGGCUCAGGGGAGGCCCUGAGAGAAGAGGCUCUGGGGAUGGAGGGUCUGGAGCCAGGACUGUACGCAGCAGCUGAAGCCGAGGACGCUGCAGGGGCACCAGACGCAGCACUGGCCCCGGCCUCAGCCCCAGCUCCGCAAGUCCCUUCUGCUGCAGCCCCAGUGCCACACCUGGCCUUCCCCGCCCCCGUCGUCCUGUAUUUCUCUUUACUCCUCCCCACUCUCUUCCUUUUCUCCACCUUAUUGUCCCUGAACCUCAAUAAAAUGUAAGUUGUUACCCACUGUGGAAUGUACAAUUUGCACCGUGCCAGCUCCCCAGGCCGUGCCCUCCCCACCCCACUCUCCCUGCACCAUGGCUCCAAUGCCCGGGACCUGCAUCCUCUGCAGAGGACACGGGCACCUCCCCAGGGGCAGAGCCAACGUUCCCCGUUUGGACAAAGAGCACCACAUGCUGGGAAGGCCAAGGGAAGCAAGGAACAGGGAGACGCUGGCAUGGCUGGGGCAGCGCCUCCUCAUGCUCAGGGACGCAGACUCUGAGGUCACAGAACGCACCUGCCGGGGGUGCUGUCCCCGCAGCCUCAGUGUCCUCAUCUGUGCAAUGGGAAGGCAGCCCUGCCACAGCCAUCACCGCAUCAGGGAAUGCGAUGCUCUGCACCUCCCUGCACACAAUGGGAGCCCCCAGCUUCCAGGAUGAGGGGUGCACAGGGAGUGGGUUGGGGGCUUCCACGGAGGGAACACAAUCCGUCCAGGGACACACACAAACAACACCUGUCACAGGCUCUGGCCCUGUGCUCAACAACGGGUCACUGACAGACGGAUCACAGCAGGGAUGUGCUCACUGCACAGGAGACAGGGGGCCUUGUCCAGGACCCCACGUGACCCAGACUGCCCGCUGUGCAGGCCACAUGGGUGGGUCUCGCUGGGAAGAUGGAGACACAGAGCA